GUUAGGAAUAUUGGACAAUGGGCGCAAGCCUGAUCCAGCCAUGCCGCGUGAACGAUGAAGGCCUUCGGGUUGUAAAGUUCUUUAGCCGAUGAUUAUAAUGACUGUAGUCGGAAAAUAAGCCCCGGCUAACUUCGUGCCAGCAGCCGCGGUAAUACGAAGGGGGCGAGCGUUAUUCGGAAUCACUGGGCGUAAAGCGUGCGUAGGCGGUCUCGUAAGUUAGGAGUGAAAGCCCAGGGCUCAACCUUGGAAUUGCUCUUAAUACUGCAAGGCUAGAAUCUCGGAGAGGAUAGCGGAAUUUCCAGUGUAGCAGUGAAAUGCGUAGAUAUUGGAAGGAACACCAGUGGCGUAAGCGGCUAUCUGGACGAGUAUUGACGCUGAGGCACGAAAGCGUGGGGAUCAAACAGGAUUAGAUACCCGUGUAGUCC
rnacentral:rRNA from 1 species